GAGCAAUGAUGAGAACAUUUUUCUACUGACCUAGAUAACCUUGAAGGUUUCUACACUUGACCUGAGCUAA